UGACAUCAGAAAGAUCCAAGGUGAUUGAAGAAGGAGAUCAAAUCAAAUCUGUCAUCAGAAGCCGACUGCGCGAGCUAGUACUCUCAUGGAGGGCUGAUCGGUCCGAGGACUUCGUGUGGACCAUCCGUAGAGGUUGGAUGCUUGUGCAGCUACGAGUGAUCAGAGAAGACUUUCAGAUCUAUAUUCUCGAUUAUGGAGUUUGACUACCCACUCUCAGGUAUUAGGUUCA
rnacentral:lncRNA from 1 species